UGUAUGGGGAUCUGCCCGAUAGAGGGGGAUAACUACUGGAAACGGUGGCUAAUACCGCAUAAUGUCUACGGACCAAAGCAGGGGCUCUUCGGACCUUGCACUAUCGGAUGAACCCAUAUGGGAUUAGCUAGUAGGUGAGGUAAAGGCUCACCUAAGCGACGAUCUCUAGCUGGUCUGAGAGGAUGAUCAGCCACACUGGGACUGAGACACGGCCCAG
rnacentral:rRNA from 1 species